ACAAAUUUAAUUAUUAAAGAUACAAAAUAUAGGAGGUGAUAACUAGAGGAAUAUAUUCUAUCAUCUGCACAUGCGAAUAAAUUAUAACAUAACCUAACUUUAAAUUCGGUUUUGAUUUUUUGAAUACUUUUCACUUUUCUCAAACUACUCUGAAUCUGAAUCUUUUUUGUCCUAAUUUUAAGAUGCCGGUAUUGUGUUUUGAAUGUGAGAAAUUUUUUUUUACACAGUUUAACUUAAACAUUUAAGAAACAUUCAUGAUAAAUCAUCCAAAUGGAUUGAAUAUGGAAGUGCAACAAAAUAUAUGUGUGUGGAAUGCAGUCUCUUUUUUAAAUUCAAUGGAGACUUGAGAAGUCAUCUGGAGCACAAACACAAUUUUAAAAAUAAUAUAGUACAUUUACAAGUUUUGAUGAAUUCAACCAAUGGCUUUGUGAAGAACAAAAAGUCAACAAUGUCCAGUAUAUCCGAAAUUCUGGGAAAAAAGUUCAGAGCAAUUAUGAACAUGUUUAUUUUGAAUGCAAACGCUUCUACAAGAAACAAAAUUUAGUAUCAUUUCAAAAAAGGAAACGGAACCUAAAGUCACAGGGAUCUUGCAAGUUAAAUGAAUCAUUUGUCGUCAAAAGAAACCUAGAGUCAGACCAUUGUGAUAUUACAUAUUAUAAAUCACAUUAUUUACAUUGAUCAGAUGAAAUACAACAUUUACAAAUUCUAAAAAGUGAUAAGGAGAUGAUUGCUUCCAAACUAAUUUUAGGGGUUCCAUCUAAAGGGAUAUAUAAGAAAUAUUCAGCGGGCAUAUAAUAUGGAUCUGAAAGAUGGAUUAUACCACAAAGAUGAUGCGACCAGUGUUAAUAUUUGGGUCAAACAAUGUGCUGAAGCUUAGGAUAAUCCAGUGCUUUUUUACAAACAGCAAGGACAGUCAAUUGAGAACUUUGAACCAAGUGACUUUUGUUUGAUAAUAAUGACUGGUGUUCAGAGAAGUAUUUUAAAAGAGUUGGGAGUCAAGUUAUCACAAUAGAUGGAUCACAUGGGCUUAAUGCCUAUGACUUUGAACUUACGACUUUGUUGACAUUAGAUGAGUUUAGACAGGGUUAUUCAGUUGCUUUUAUGUUCACAAAUUGUAAAGAUACUUCUGUUUAUCAGUUUUUUUCUCUAAAGUGAAAGACGUUGUUGGUCUGAUUAAAAAUACAGUUUUCAUGUCUGAUAUCACUCAUACAUACUAUAUGGCUUGAUGCCAAAUAAUGGGACCACCAAAACAUAGACUAUUAUGUUAGCAUAGCAGACAAACCUCGCAACAAUAAAUAAUUCUGAGAAAAAAUCUUGGUAUAUAAAACACUUAUACAUAUAUAGACUAUAUCGGACACUGAAGUAUUUCAAAAAAAAGUUAUAGAACUCACUCAGACUCUCAUAGAAGAUCAAGAUACAAAAAAAUUGGUGAUUAUUUGGAAAAAUAAUAUAUACCAAUAUCUGAGCAGUGGGCUUAUUGCUACAGAAGUGGAUGCGGUUUGAACACUAACAUGCAAUUGGAGAGCUUCCAUAAAACCAUUAAAUAUCAUUACUUAGCUGGAAAAAAAGAUAAAAAUAUUGGAUAAAUCAAAUCAUCAGUUAAUGUCUUACUUACGGGACAAAUCAGUGGACAGAAUAAUUGAAAAAGGGAACGAACUUGAAAAACAACACAAUAUCCAGACACAGAAUUGCUCUUACAUCGAAGUUCAAUUUAAUGCAAAAGGAUUUAUUCACUUGAUCUUUGAAAAAUGACAGUAAUGAAUACAUUAUUACUAAACAAUCGGAAAAUAAUAAUGUGUGUUGGUCUAUAAAAUACCCUUUUUGUAAUAUAUGUAUACACACAUUCAAGUGUAGCUGCAUUGAUUUUUGCAUAAGAACAACUAUAUGCAAGCAUAUCCACUACGUAGCUAUAAACAGUGUGCAGCAAAAUAAUAAUAAUAUACCACUGGUCACCAGCCAGAUCAUAUAUAAUGAAAAUACUAAAAAAGUUCAGGAUUUGAAAUCACAGUUGUUGUUAAGAAAGAAAGCAUUAAGGAAAAAAUAAAAAGUAAUAUUUUUGAAAUGCUGCAAAUGCUCGAUUGUCAAAAUUUUAAGAUGAACAAAUCUUAGAGAUCUCUGGUUACAGCAUACUAAAACAUGCCUGGCUUUAUGCUCUGUAGACGAUGAAAAUAAAAAUAAAUUCCUGGUAAAGGAGAGAAAUAUGAAACAACCAGCUAAUACAAAUAUCACAAAACAGAAGUCGUUCCAUUCAACUAAGAAGAAAAGUAACCAAAAGAAGUCUGCAUAUUCGAAAGCUUCUAAGGAGGACUUUAAAAUAUUAGAAUUUGUUAACUUACAUCUAGCCAAGUCAAACACUG